rnacentral:rRNA from 1 species
GGGUUGUGAGGUUAAGCGACUAAGCGUACACGGUGGAUGCCCUGGCAGUCAGAGGCGAUGAAGGGCGUGCUAAUCUGCGAUAAGCGCCGGUAAGGUGAUAUGAACCGUUAUAACCGGCGAUACCCGAAUGGGGAAACCCAGUGUGACUCGUCACACUAUCAUUAACUGAAUCCAUAGGUUAAUGAGGCGAACCGGGGGAACUGAAACAUCUAAGUACCCCGAGGAAAAGAAAUCAACCGAGAUUCCCCCAGUAGCGGCGAGCGAACGGGGAGGAGCCCAGAGCCUGAAUCAGCAUGUGUGUUAGUGGAAGCGUCUGGAAAGGCGCGCGAUACAGGGUGACAGCCCCGUACACAAAAGCGCAUGUGCUGUGAGCUCGAUGAGUAGGGCGGGACACGUGGUAUCCUGUCUGAAUAUGGGGGGACCAUCCUCCAAGGCUAAAUACUCCUGACUGACCGAUAGUGAACCAGUACCGUGAGGGAAAGGCGAAAAGAACCCCGGCGAGGGGAGUGAAAAAGAACCUGAAACCGUGUACGUACAAGCAGUGGGAGCACAGGUUUACCUGUGUGACUGCGUACCUUUUGUAUAAUGGGUCAGCGACUUAUAUUCUGUAGCAAGGUUAACCGAAUAGGGGAGCCGGAGGGAAACCGAGUCUUAAUUGGGCGUUAAGUUGCAGGGUAUAGACCCGAAACCCGGUGAUCUAGCCAUGGGCAGGUUGAAGGUUGGGUAACACUAACUGGAGGACCGAACCGACUAAUGUUGAAAAAUUAGCGGAUGACCUGUGGCUGGGGGUGAAAGGCCAAUCAAACCGGGAGAUAGCUGGUUCUCCCCGAAAGCUAUUUAGGUAGCGCCUCGUGAAUUCAUCUCCGGGGGUAGAGCACUGUUUCGGCUAGGGGGCCAUCCCGGCUUACCAACCCGAUGCAAACUGCGAAUACCGGAGAAUGUUAUCACGGGAGACACACGGCGGGUGCUAACGUCCGUCGUGAAGAGGGAAACAACCCAGACCGCCAGCUAAGGUCCCAAAGUCAUGGUUAAGUGGGAAACGAUGUGGGAAGGCCCAGACAGCCAGGAUGUUGGCUUAGAAGCAGCCAUCAUUUAAAGAAAGCGUAAUAGCUCACUGGUCGAGUCGGCCUGCGCGGAAGAUGUAACGGGGCUAAACCAUGCACCGAAGCUGCGGCAGCGACACUGUGUGUUGUUGGGUAGGGGAGCGUUCUGUAAGCCUGCGAAGGUGGCCUGUGAGGGUUGCUGGAGGUAUCAGAAGUGCGAAUGCUGACAUAAGUAACGAUAAAGCGGGUGAAAAGCCCGCUCGCCGGAAGACCAAGGGUUCCUGUCCAACGUUAAUCGGGGCAGGGUGAGUCGACCCCUAAGGCGAGGCCGAAAGGCGUAGUCGAUGGGAAACGGGUUAAUAUUCCCGUACUUGGUGUUACUGCGAAGGGGGGACGGAGAAGGCUAUGUUGGCCGGGCGACGGUUGUCCCGGUUUAAGCGUGUAGGUGUGUGUUCCAGGUAAAUCCGGUUCACUUUAACACUGAGGCGUGACGACGAGGCACUACGGUGCUGAAGCAACAAAUGCCCUGCUUCCAGGAAAAGCCUCUAAGCAUCAGGUAACAUCAAAUCGUACCCCAAACCGACACAGGUGGUCAGGUAGAGAAUACCAAGGCGCUUGAGAGAACUCGGGUGAAGGAACUAGGCAAAAUGGUGCCGUAACUUCGGGAGAAGGCACGCUGACACGUAGGUGAAGUGAUUUACUCAUGGAGCUGAAGUCAGUCGAAGAUACCAGCUGGCUGCAACUGUUUAUUAAAAACACAGCACUGUGCAAACACGAAAGUGGACGUAUACGGUGUGACGCCUGCCCGGUGCCGGAAGGUUAAUUGAUGGGGUCAGCGCAAGCGAAGCUCCUGAUCGAAGCCCCGGUAAACGGCGGCCGUAACUAUAACGGUCCUAAGGUAGCGAAAUUCCUUGUCGGGUAAGUUCCGACCUGCACGAAUGGCGUAAUGAUGGCCAGGCUGUCUCCACCCGAGACUCAGUGAAAUUGAACUCGCUGUGAAGAUGCAGUGUACCCGCGGCAAGACGGAAAGACCCCGUGAACCUUUACUAUAGCUUGACACUGAACAUUGAGCCUUGAUGUGUAGGAUAGGUGGGAGGCUUUGAAGUGUGGACGCCAGUCUGCAUGGAGCCGACCUUGAAAUACCACCCUUUAAUGUUUGAUGUUCUAACGUGGACCCGUUACCCGGGUUGCGGACAGUGUCUGGUGGGUAGUUUGACUGGGGCGGUCUCCUCCUAAAGAGUAACGGAGGAGCACGAAGGUUGGCUAAUCCUGGUCGGACAUCAGGAGGUUAGUGCAAUGGCAUAAGCCAGCUUGACUGCGAGCGUGACGGCGCGAGCAGGUGCGAAAGCAGGUCAUAGUGAUCCGGUGGUUCUGAAUGGAAGGGCCAUCGCUCAACGGAUAAAAGGUACUCCGGGGAUAACAGGCUGAUACCGCCCAAGAGUUCAUAUCGACGGCGGUGUUUGGCACCUCGAUGUCGGCUCAUCACAUCCUGGGGCUGAAGUAGGUCCCAAGGGUAUGGCUGUUCGCCAUUUAAAGUGGUACGCGAGCUGGGUUUAGAACGUCGUGAGACAGUUCGGUCCCUAUCUGCCGUGGGCGCUGGAGAACUGAGGGGGGCUGCUCCUAGUACGAGAGGACCGGAGUGGACGCAUCACUGGUGUUCGGGUUGUCAUGCCAAUGGCACUGCCCGGUAGCUAAAUGCGGAAGAGAUAAGUGCUGAAAGCAUCUAAGCACGAAACUUGCCCCGAGAUGAGUUCUCCCUGAGACUUAAAGUCUCCUGAAGGAACGUUGAAGACGACGACGUUGAUAGGCCGGGUGUGUAAGCGCAGCGAUGCGUUGAGCUAACCGGUACUAAUGAACCGUGAGGCUUAACCUUACAACGCCG